rnacentral:lncRNA from 1 species
ACUACUUCAGGGUCCAUAACCUGAACUGAAGUCCCAGGCAGCGGCAAUUAUAAAAUAAUGACACCUAAGAAUGUUUUCAAGAAGUCUGGUUCAUAAUGCAUUCAAACUUAAAAAAAUAUUAAAGACAACUAAAAAAAUUUUGCUCAUUUUUGGAGCAAAAAAACUACCAAAGAAGGAGCAGCUUGAGGGAAUAUUAAUGGAUUAUGAGAAGAAAAUGAAACUGAACUAUUUUGCGUUAUCCUACAAGAUGAAUGAUUAUAGAGUACAAUAGACUGACUAACCAGGAGUUGAAAGCCAGAUCAUAAGAUAUUUGAAGAGACACAGUAACCUCUCAAAAUGAGGCCAAUUUUCUUAGAUCAGGGAUCUCCCUUGCAUCCAAAAACCUGGCAUACAGUUUGGGUAUCCCUUCUCCAAGAUAUGUGGGGCCAGAAAAUUUUCAGAUUUUGGAAUAUUUGCAUAUAUAUAAUGAGAUAUCAUGGGAUCAGACCCAAGUCUAAACACAAGAAUUCAUUUAUAUUUCAUAUACACCUUGUCCACGUAGCUUGAAGGUAACUUUUCACUUGAGUGCUGUACAUGUGUGUCCUUCAGGUACUGAUGAAGCCUCUACAGAGCUCUCUUCUCAGCCUUGCUCUGCCAUUUCUGCUGCUACUGCAGCAGUGACACUGGAAUCCCUGAAGCAUCAAAUCUUGAAUUGGAGGAAAGUACUUCUUUCCAUAUUUUGUAAUAUGUCCUACUAAAGGAUAGCAAAGCAGAGUUGUUUGCUCCC